GAUGAACGCUGGCGGCGCGCCUAACACAUGCAAGUCGAACGGCACCUAUCUUCGGAUAGAAGCGAGUGGCGAACGGCUGAGUAACACGUGGAGAACCUGCCCCCUCCCCCGGGAUAGCCGCCCGAAAGGACGGGUAAUACCGGAUACCCCGGGGUGCCGCAUGGCACCCCGGCUAAAGCCCCGACGGGAGGGGAUGGCUCCGCGGCCCAUCAGGUAGACGGCGGGGUGACGGCCCACCGUGCCGACAACGGGUAGCCGGGUUGAGAGACCGACCGGCCAGAUUGGGACUGAGACACGGCCCAGACUCCUACGGGAGGCAGCAGUGGGGAAUCUUGCGCAAUGGGGGGAACCCUGACGCAGCGACGCCGCGUGCGGGACGGAGGCCUUCGGGUCGUAAACCGCUUUCAGCAGGGAAGAGUCAAGACUGUACCUGCAGAAGAAGCCCCGGCUAACUACGUGCCAGCAGCCGCGGUAAUACGUAGGGGGCGAGCGUUAUCCGGAUUCAUUGGGCGUAAAGCGCGCGUAGGCGGCCCGGCAGGCCGGGGUUCGAAACGGGGGGGCUCAACCCCCCCGAAGCCCCCGGAACCUCCGCGGCUUGGGUCCGGUAGGGGAGGGUGGAACACCCGGUGUAGCGGUGGAAUGCGCAGAUAUCGGGUGGAACACCGGUGGCGAAGGCGGCCCUCUGGGCCGAGACCGACGCUGAGGCGCGAAAGCUGGGGGAGCGAACAGGAUUAGAUACCCUGGUAGUCCCAGCCGUAAACGAUGGACGCUAGGUGUGGGGGGACGAUCCCCCCCGUGCCGCAGCCAACGCAUUAAGCGUCCCGCCUGGGGAGUACGGCCGCAAGGCUAAAACUCAAAGGAAUUGACGGGGGCCCGCACAAGCAGCGGAGCAUGUGGCUUAAUUCGAAGCAACGCGAAGAACCUUACCAGGGCUUGACAUAUGGGUGAAGCGGGGGAGACCCCGUGGCCGAGAGGAGCCCAUACAGGUGGUGCAUGGCUGUCGUCAGCUCGUGUCGUGAGAUGUUGGGUUAAGUCCCGCAACGAGCGCAACCCCCGCCGCGUGUUGCCAUCGGGUGAUGCCGGGAACCCACGCGGGACCGCCGCCGUCAAGGCGGAGGAGGGCGGGGACGACGUCAAGUCAUCAUGCCCCUUAUGCCCUGGGCUGCACACGUGCUACAAUGGCCGGUACAGAGGGAUGCCACCCCGCGAGGGGGAGCGGAUCCCGGAAAGCCGGCCCCAGUUCGGAUUGGGGGCUGCAACCCGCCCCCAUGAAGUCGGAGUUGCUAGUAAUCGCGGAUCAGCAUGCCGCGGUGAAUGCGUUCCCGGGCCU
rnacentral:rRNA from 1 species